CAGGGAAUAUUGCGCAAUGGACGGAAUUCCGACGCAGCGACGCCGCGUGGGUGAAGAAGGCCUUCGGGUUGUAAAGCCCUUUUCUGGGGGAAGAGCAAGGACUGUACCCCAGGAAUAAGUGUCGGCUAACUACGUGCCAGCAGCCGCGGUAAUACGUAGGACACGAGCGUUAUCCGGAUUUACUGGGCGUAAAGAGCCUGUAGGUGGACGAACAA
rnacentral:rRNA from 1 species